CGGAACGUGCCCAGUAGCGGGGGAUAACUACGCGAAAGCGUAGCUAAUACCGCAUACGCCCUACGGGGGAAAGCAGGGGAUCGUAAGACCUUGCACUAUUGGAGCGGCCGAUAUCGGAUUAGCUAGUUGGUGAGGUAAUGGCUCACCAAGGCGACGAUCCGUAGCUGGUUUGAGAGGACGACCAGCCACACUGGGACUGAGACACGGCCCAGACUCCUACGGGAGGCAGCAGUGGGGAAUUUUGGACAAUGGGGGAAACCCUGAUCCAGCCAUCCCGCGUGUGCGAUGAAGGCCUUCGGGUUGUAAAGCACUUUUGGCAGGAAAGAAACGGCGCGUGCUAAUACCAUGCGCAACUGACGGUACCUGCAGAAUAAGCACCGGCUAACUACGUGCCAGCAGCCGCGGUAAUACGUAGGGUGCAAGCGUUAAUCGGAAUUACUGGGCGUAAAGCGUGCGCAGGCGGUUCGGAAAGAAAGAUGUGAAAUCCCAGGGCUCAACCUUGGAACUGCAUUUUUAACUACCGGACUAGAGUGUGUCAGAGGGAGGUGGAAUUCCACGU
rnacentral:rRNA from 1 species